rnacentral:rRNA from 1 species
GAUGAACGCUGGCGGCGUGCCUAAUACAUGCAAGUCGAGCGAACGGACGAGAAGCUUGCUUCUCUGAUGUUAGCGGCGGACGGGUGAGUAACACGUGGAUAACCUACCUAUAAGACUGGGAUAACUUCGGGAAACCGGAGCUAAUACCGGAUAAUAUUUUGAACCGCAUGGUUCAAAAGUGAAAGACGGUCUUGCUGUCACUUAUAGAUGGAUCCGCGCUGCAUUAGCUAGUUGGUAAGGUAACGGCUUACCAAGGCAACGAUGCAUAGCCGACCUGAGAGGGUGAUCGGCCACACUGGAACUGAGACACGGUCCAGACUCCUACGGGAGGCAGCAGUAGGGAAUCUUCCGCAAUGGGCGAAAGCCUGACGGAGCAACGCCGCGUGAGUGAUGAAGGUCUUCGGAUCGUAAAACUCUGUUAUUAGGGAAGAACAUAUGCGUAAGUAACUGUGCACAUCUUGACGGUACCUAAUCAGAAAGCCACGGCUAACUACGUG